rnacentral:rRNA from 1 species
UACGAGGGGUGCAAGCGUUGCUCGGAAUUAUUGGGCGUAAAGGGUAGGUAGGUGGUCUCAUUUGUCUGGGGUGAAAGCCUUGAGCUUAACUCAAGAAGUGCCCCGGAAACGGUGAGACUGGAGUCCUGGAGAGGGUCGUGGAAUUCCCGGUGUAGCGGUGAAAUGCGUAGAGAUCGGGAGGAACACCAAUGGCGAAGGCAGCACUCUGGGACGUGACUGACGCUGAGACGCGAAAGCGUGGGGAGCAAACAGG